AGAGUUUGAUCCUGGCUCAGGACGAACGCUGGCGGCGUGCUUAACACAUGCAAGUCGAACGGGCCUUGUCCCCUUUUUUUUUGGGGGUGGGGUUAGUGGCGAACGGGUGAGUAACACGUGAGUAACCUGCCCCUCACUUCUGGAUAACCGCUUGAAAGGGUGGCUAAUACGGGGUGUUCUGGCCUGCUCGCAUGGGUGGGUUUGGAAAGAUUCGACCGGUUUGGUUGUUUUGGUGGGGGAUGGGCUCGCGGCCUAUCAGCUUGUUGGUGGGGUGAUGGCCUGCCAAGGCUUUGACGGGUAGCCGGCCUGAGAGGGUGGGCGGUCACACUGGGACUGAGACACGGCCCAGACUCCUACGGGAGGCAGCAGUGGGGAAUAUUGCACAAUGGGCGCAAGCCUGAUGCAGCGACGCCGCGUGGGGGAUGACGGCUUUCGGGUUGUAAACCUCUUUCGUCGGGGGACAAGGCUCUGCUUGGUGGUGGGGUUGAGGGUACCCGGUGAAGAAGCGCCGGCUAACUACGUGCCAGCAGCCGCGGUAAUACGUAGGGCGCGAGCGUUGUCCGGAAUUAUUGGGCGUAAAGGGCUUGUAGGCGGCUGGUCGCGUCUGCCGUGAAAUCCUCUGGCUCAGCUGGGGGCGUGCGGUGGGUACGGGCUGGCUUGAGUGCGGUAGGGGAGACUGGAACUCCUGGUGUAGCGGUGGAAUGCGCAGAUAUCAGGAAGAACACCGGUGGCGAAGGCGGGUCUCUGGGCCGUUACUGACGCUGAGGAGCGAAAGCGUGGGGAGCGAACAGGAUUAGAUACCCUGGUAGUCCACGCUGUAAACGUUGGGCACUAGGUGUGGGGGGCCUUUUCCGGGUUUUCCGCGCCGUAGCUAACGCAUUAAGUGCCCCGCCUGGGGAGUACGGCCGCAAGGCUAAAACUCAAAGGAAUUGACGGGGGC
rnacentral:rRNA from 1 species